rnacentral:piRNA from 1 species
UGUUCCAGAACAAGAACACAUGCCUCACUUU